rnacentral:rRNA from 1 species
AGUGAACGCUGGCGGUGGGCCUAACACAUGCAAGUCGAACGGCAGCACAGUAAGAGCUUGCUCUUACGGGUGGCGAGUGGCGGACGGGUGAGGAAUACAUCGGAAUCUACUUUUUCGUGGGGGAUAACGUAGGGAAACUUACGCUAAUACCGCAUACGACCUACGGGUGAAAGCAGGGGAUCUUCGGACCUUGCGCGAUUGAAUGAGCCGAUGUCGGAUUAGCUAGUUGGUGGGGUAAAGGCCCACCAAGGCGACGAUCCGUAGCUGGUCUGAGAGGAUGAUCAGCCACACUGGAACUGAGACACGGUCCAGACUCCUACGGGAGGCAGCAGUGGGGAAUAUUGGACAAUGGGCGCAAGCCUGAUCCAGCCAUACCGCGUGGGUGAAGAAGGCCUUCGGGUUGUAAAGCCCUUUUGUUGGGAAAGAAAAGCAGCAGGUUAAUACCCCGCUGUUCUGACGGUACCCAAAGAAUAAGCACCGGCUAACUUCGUG